CUUAGGUUGAAUAACAGCUGCAAAAAUAUUCAAGCGUUCAGAACAGAUACAAGGCAUUAUAGUGCACUAUUUUAUAAUAUAAGAAAAAGUAUACCACCAAAAAAUCUGAAGUCUGAGUAAAAAAGUUCCUAAAUCUCUUAAUGGAGUUGUAUAUUGAGCAAAUAUUCAUUCUAAAAUAUAUCCCUUUUUUGGCUAAGAGAAAACGGCUUGAAAUAAACCAUCUACCCGCACUAAGUGUACAAAAUUAUGGAAAAUUCACUAGAAACGAAAAUGGAUUUGCUGCUACGAAAGUUUAUAAAAAAAAUGGAUAAUUUUGCUUAUAUAUGUGUUGUAUUCAGCAGCCAACUCGUUUCAAUGGAUGGAGUACUCCAUUAUUGCCAACAUCGUAAUGAGAUUUUACGACGUGGAUGCGAGUGAUGUAGACUGGACAUCGAUUAUUUACAUGCUCAUUUACCCCAUUAUUGUCAUACCUGUGUCGUACUUUAUAGAGAAUAAGGGUUUAAGAUUUGCUGCCCUUUGUGGCGGUCUCGGUACGGCACUGGCAGCUUUUAUAAAAGUAUUUUCAGUCAAGAGAGGAUUAUUUUAUUUGGUACU